AUGAGAGUUUGAUCCUGGCUCAGGACGAACGCUGGCGGCGUGGAUAAGGCAUGCAAGUCGAACGGAUUUAUUUUUGUUAGCAAUAACUAAAAUGAAUUAGUGGCAGACGAGGUAGUAACACGUAGGUACGUACCCCAAAGUCGGGCAUAACUCAUCGAAAGGUGGGCUAAUUCCCGAUAUUGUCUCGAGAGUAAUCGAGGGACGAAAGGAGCAAUCCGCUUUGGGAACGGCCUGCGGGCUAUCAGCUUGUUGGUAGGGUAACGGCCUACCAAGGCGAUGACGGCUAGGGGGCGUGAGAGCGUGAUCCCCACCGACGGAACUGAGACACGGUCCGUACACCUACGGGUGGCAGCAGUCGAGAAUCUUCGACAAUGGGCGAAAGCCUGAUCGAGCGACGCCGCGUGCAGGAUGAAAUCCUUCGGGAUGUAAACUGCUUUUGGCAGGGAAAAACACAAUGAUGGUACCUGCAGAAUAAGGGCCUGCAAAUCUCGUGCCAGCAGCCGCGGUAAUACGAGAGGCCCAAGCGUUGUCCGGAGUUACUGGGCGUAAAGGGUGCGUAGGGGGUUGUGUUAGCCUCACCUUAAAUCUUCAUGCCUAACAUGAAGGCUGGGCGGGGAACGGCACAACUUGAGGGCGCGAGAGGCGAGUGGAACUCAUGGUGGAGGGGUGAAAUCCGUUGAUAUCAUGGGGAACACCAAAGGCGAAGGCAGCUCGCUGGCGCGUACCUGACCCUGAAGCACGAAAGCGUGGGGAUCAAAAAGGAUUAGAUACCCUUGUAGUCCACGCCCUAAACGAUGAUGACUAGCUAUUGGAAGUAUCGACCCUUCGAGUGGCGAAGCUAACGCGUUAAGUCAUCCGCCUGGGAAGUACGAUCGCAAGAUUAAAACUCAAAGGAAUAGACGGGAAAGGAAAAUUUUCUCACAAGGACGGCGGAACAGGUGCUGCAUGGUUGUCGUCAGUUCGUGGCUUGAGCUGUUCCCUUAAGUGGGGUAACGAACGCAACCCCCGUUGGCUGUUAUACGUGUCAGCUGAGACCGCUCCCCGCCUACGUUUAUAAAUUUUUGUAGAUGUAGGCGGGGAGAGGAAGUGGGGAUGACGCCAAAUCAGCAUGGCCCUCUGAUGCCCUGGGCUACACACGUGCUACAAUGGCCGAUACAAUGGGUUGCGAAGUCGCGAGACGGAGCCAAUCCCAUCAAAGUCGGCCCCAGUUCGGAUUGGAGUCUGCAACUCGACUCCAUGAAGUUGGAAUCGCUAGUAAUCGCAGGUCAGCUAUACUGCGGUGAAUACGUUCUCGAGUCUUGUACUCACCGCCCGUCAAGUCAGGGGAGCCGGGAGUGGCCAAAGUCGCCAGCUCGACUGGGACUACGCCAAGCUCGGUGACAAAGACUAAGUCGUAACAAGGCACGCGUAGCGGAAGCUGUGCGUGGAUUUUCUCCU
rnacentral:rRNA from 1 species